rnacentral:rRNA from 1 species
UACGUAGGGUGCGAGCGUUGUCCGGAAUUACUGGGCGUAAAGAGCUCGUAGGUGGUUUGUCGCGUUGUUCGUGAAAACUCACAACUCAAUUGUGGGCGUGCGGGCGAUACUGGCAGGCUGGAGUACUGCAGGGGAGACUGGAAUUCCUGGUGUAGCGGUGGAAUGCGCAGAUAUCAGGAGGAACACCGGUGGCGAAGGCGGGUCUCUGGGCAGUAACUGACGCUGAGGAGCGAAAGCGUGGGGAGCGAACAGG